rnacentral:rRNA from 1 species
UACGAGGGGAGCAAGCGUUGUUCGGAUUUACUGGGCGUAAAGGGCGCGUAGGCGGCUCUACAAGUCACUUGUGAAAUCUCCGGGCUUAACUCGGAACGGUCAAGUGAUACUGUCGAGCUAGAGUACAGAAGGGGCAACUGGAAUUCUCGGUGUAGCGGUGAAAUGCGUAGAUAUCGAGAGGAACACCUGCGGCGAAGGCGGGUUGCUGGGCUGAUACUGACGCUGAGGCGCGAAAGCGUGGGGAGCAAACAGG